GAUGAACGCUGGCGGCGUGCCUAAUACAUGCAAGUCGAGCGAACGGACGAGAAGCUUGCUUCUCUGAUGUUAGCGGCGGACGGGUGAGUAACACGUGGAUAACCUACCUAUAAGACUGGGAUAACUUCGGGAAACCGGAGCUAAUACCGGAUAAUAUUUUGAACCGCAUGGUUCAAAAGUGAAAGACGGUCUUGCUGUCACUUAUAGAUGGAUCCGCGCUGCAUUAGCUAGUUGGUAAGGUAACGGCUUACCAAGGCAACGAUGCAUAGCCGACCUGAGAGGGUGAUCGGCCCCCCUGGACCUGGCACCCGGCCCCGCCUCCUCCGGGAGGCAGCUGUGGGGACUCUUCCGCACGGGGCGAAACCCUGACGGAGCAACCCCGCGUGGGUGAUGAAGGUCUUCGGUUUGUAAACCCCUUUUUUUUGGGAAAAACAUUGUUUUAAGUAACUUUGCCCCUUUUGCCGGUCCCUAAUCAGAAAGCCCCGCCUACCUCCGU
rnacentral:rRNA from 1 species